ACACCUUCUCGGCCUUUUGGCUAAGAUCAAGUGUAGUACUAAAUUUUUUUGGGUCAUCCGCCACCUCUUUCCUAUGACCUGAAAAUGUUAAAUAUAAGGAGUGAGCAAUCUCCUUUACUAUAGUAUAUUUAUUAGUUAUCACAGGGCUCAUCGAUCUUCUUCUUCAAUGAUGAAGAGACAAGGAUUCUUUU